rnacentral:rRNA from 1 species
CAGUAGCCGCGGGAAUACGGAGGGCGCGAGCGUUACCCGGAUUCACUGGGCGUAAAGGGCGUGUAGGCGGCCUGGGGCGUCCCAUGUGAAAGACCACGGCUCAACCGUGGGGGAGCGUGGGAUACGCUCAGGCUAGACGGUGGGAGAGGGUGGUGGAAUUCCCGGAGUAGCGGUGAAAUGCGCAGAUACCGGGAGGAACGCCGAUGGCGAAGGCAGCCACCUGGUCCACCCGUGACGCUGAGGCGCGAAAGCGUGGGGAGCAAACCGGAUUAGAGACCCGCGUAGUUCCUGUCUCUUAUAC